rnacentral:lncRNA from 1 species
UCUGGUCUAAGUUGGAUAUUGAAAGGUUUGAGUUUUUUGGCUUGGUGAGUAGUUACUUCUAUCCCUUUUCCUUUAUCUUUUUUGUCAUAUUUUUCUAGGCUAAUUGUUAUCUCUUUAAAUUCUUGCAGGUCUAUUUCUUGCUCUUUUUUGCCAUCUUCGAUAUGGCUAAUUCUGCUUUCCAGCUUUUCAAUAUUUUUCUCCAUUCCGUGUAAUUUUUG